rnacentral:rRNA from 1 species
UUGGUGGGGUAAAGGCUUACCAAGACUAUGAUGUGUAGCCGGGCUGAGAGGUUGAACGGCCACAUUGGGACUGAGACACGGCCCAAACUCCUACGGGAGGCAGCAGUAGGGAAUUUUCGGCAAUGGAGGAAACUCUGACCGAGCAACGCCGCGUGAACGAUGAAGUAUUUCGGUACGUAAAGUUCUUUUAUUAGGGAAGAAUAAAUGAUGGAAAAAUCAUUCUGACGGUACCUAAUGAAUAAGCCCCGGCUAACUAUGUGCCAGCAGCCGCGGUAAUACAUAGGGGGCAAGCGUUAUCCGGAAUUAUUGGGCGUAAAGGGUGCGUAGGCGGUUAAAUAAGUUUAUGGUCUAAGUGCAAUGCUUAACAUUGUGAUGCUAUAAAAACUGUUUAGCUAGAGUAAGAUAGAGGCAAGUGGAAUUCCAUGUGUAGUGGUAAAAUGCGUAAAUAUAUGGAGGAACACCAGUAGCGAAGGCGGCUUGCUGGGUCUUUACUGACGCUGAGGCACGAAAGCGUGGGGAGCAAACAGGAUUAGAUACCCUGGUAGUCCACGCCGUAAACGAUGAGUACUAAAUGUUGGGUAAAACCAGUGUUGAAGUUAACACAUUAAGUACUCCGCCUGAGUAGUACGUACGCAAGUAUGAAACUUAAAGGAAUUGACGGGACUCCGCACAAGCGGUGGAUCAUGUUGUUUAAUUCGAAGGUACCCGAAAAACCUCACCAGGUCUUGACAUGCUUCUGCAAAGCUGUAGAAACACAGUGGAGGUUAUCAGUUGCACAGGUGGUGCAUGGUUGUCGUCAGCUCGUGUCGUGAGAUGUUGGGUUAAGUCCCGCAACGAGCGCAACCCUUAUUGUUAGUUGCCAGCACGUAAUGGUGGGGACUUUAGCAAGACUGCCAGUGAUAAAUUGGAGGAAGGUGGGGACGACGUCAAAUCAUCAUGCCCCUUAUGACCUGGGCUACAAACGUGAUACAAUGGCUGUUACAGAGGGUAGCUGAAACGCAAGUUUUUGGCGAAUCUCAAAAA